rnacentral:rRNA from 14 species
AGGAUAGCUGGGAGGCUUUGAAGUGGGAACGCCAGUUCUCAUGGAGCCAACCUUGAAAUACCAGCCUGACAUGUUUGAGGUUCUAACUUGGACCCCUUAUCGGGGUUGAGGACACUGUGUGGUGGGUAGUUUGACUGGGGCGGUCUCCUCCCAAAUAGUAACGGAGGAGCACGAAGGUUAGCUAAUCACGGUCGGACAUCGUGAGGUUAGUGCAAUGGCAUAAGCUAGCUUAACUGCGAGACAGACACGUCGAGCAGGUACGAAAGUAGGUCAUAGUGAUCCGGUGGUUCUGUAUGGAAGGGCCAUCGCUCAACGGAUAAAAGGUACUCCGGGGAUAACAGGCUGAUACCGCCC